rnacentral:rRNA from 1 species
CUCUAUAAUAUUUAAAACUUUCUACACCGGAUCUCUCGGGUCUGGCGUCUAUGAAAAAAGCACCGAAAUGCGAUAUGUAAUGUGAAUUGUACAAUUCUCUGAAUCUUCUAAUCUUUGAACGCACAUUGCGCCCCUUGGGAUUCCGGGGGGCAUGCGUGUGCUAGCGUCAUUUCAACCCUCAACCUCUGCUUGGUAUUGGGCCCUGCUGGCAACGGCAGGCCCUAAAAACAUUGGCGGUGCCUUUAUGUCCCGAUCGUAGUACAUUUCUCCCCACAAGUCCCUGACGGUUACUGGCCGCCAACCCCCAUUUUUCUAUUGUUGACCUCAGAUCAGGUAGGGAUACCCGCUGAACUUAAUCAUAUCAAUACACGGAGGAAAAGAAACCAACACGGAUUGCCUCGCUUACGGCGAGUGAAGCGACAUAAGCUCAACUUUGAAAUCUGGCUCU